CCUGUUGAGAGUUCAGGCGCAGCAAGACACAAGAGAGAAGGCGGUUGGUGUCAUUUAAGCCACUCUCUCAGCAAUUUUUUAGCAGAUAAUGAUCUUGGACAUUACCCUUCGACACCAGUAUGUUAUCCGAUACCAACUGCUAAACAUUGCAGCUGUUUCAUUUGAAAAUAAUAGUUGUUGAUUAGUGCCAAAAAAUGGUUCUGUAUUAGGUAGUUUACACCUAUCAUCAAUUAUAUUUGAGGUGCAUACCUGGAGCAUGCGGCGGGUAAGUAAUGAGCGAAAAGAAAAGACGAAAGUAACUUAUUGAUCAUGUGGACUCGUAAAAUCGGCUGGAAACAGACUCAAGAAUUUCCCAGUCGAUGUCGUCACUUCUUGCACAACAACGAUACUGUCGAGGCUGCCUCAUUGUUGAUAAUGUCUUUCCAAAUUUUCCAGUAUUGCACGAUGGAAUGGUUAGGACAAGAAGUAGACUUUUGAUGCUAAAUUGUGCAGGUUUCGUGACAAACGAGACAUCCAUUUCUAGCAGAAUUGGCCGUGCGACCAAGAAAGACCUUAUUGUGAAUAUCUCUUCUGCACAAACGAAUUUGACGCCAUUAAAAGCUGUUUGCUCCAAUGCUAUGCGAUAUUCUUUAAAAUGUUUUUUCAAGUAAGGGUUCAAAUCAAUAUUCCUUGGUCCAACACUUGAGGAGCAUUUCUCUAUAUGUCUGAUGAAUUUAUUCAUGAGGCUCACUAUAUGAAUGUGUCGGGUGAUGAUCUGACUUGCCCAAGUUGAUUGUUAAUCCGAAUGAGAGAUUUUACUGCUGCUUUGUCCAAAUCGUUUAAAAAAACAUUAAGGAUUCAAGUCAGGGAAAAUGGAUUCAAGUAGGAUUAAAGAUGUGAUGGUUGCAGCUAUUACACAAGUUUCAAGCACUCACAAACGCCCUCCAGAUAAAACAUUCUUCGAACAGAUUGGCUUGAGUCGUAAGUCUCGAUUUCAUGAAUUCUCUCUGUGGACCAUGUUCAAGGGGUUCAUGAUGUGGUGUUUGGCAGGUCACCUAACUCUUGAUUAAUGACCGUUUAUCAUUUUGGAUUUUACUGACGAGUUUGAGCACUAAAGGUCUUAUUGAAUAAAAUCUGUGCGGGCACGCAGUAGGCAUUUGGGAGAAAAUACCCUUUCAUCCAGGUCUGGAACUCCUCGGUCCUUGGUCACAAAACUAGUGGAAGUGAAAUCCACAGGAUGGGGUCGAUGGAAUUGACGUCAUUAUUCAGAAUUUCACAAGACUGUUCCCUACACUAUGCUCUACCUCAAGGCAGGUCUUCGAGAGCUGGUUACCAAGCAAGCCCGAGCCAAAUGAGGCGAACUAAACAGGGCAGCAGCAGCCUGCCUGGCGGGGACGCAACGCGGAUCGCGUGCGAGAACCUUAUGCAGGGCCGGACAGGGUAGGAGUAACGGCGCGGGUGAGGGUGAUGCUGAAGAGAAAAGUUUUCGAAGAGCAGUCUAUCUUUCUCCUGCGGGUGUAAAGCUGGGUUCUAUUGUUGCAAUUUCUCCAGACGGCCGUUUCUUAUUAUCAGAAUCGUGCUACUUCGCGAAACAAGAAUCGUCUGCUUCCAGUUGAGUCUGUCGAAGAAGAUCCUCACUCGCAUCAAUAUCGGCAGUAUGGAUUUUCAAGACAUAUUGCCUUUGCAUUGACCGCCCUCACCCUGUCCUCACAUAUUGUGCAAGUCGACACGCAGACAAUUAUGUCAAAUUGGUGACGACAGAUACUGCUGAUGCAGUUGAGAGUGCAUUGAGUCAUUGUGCUCCAGUUACUUGCUAAGCACUGUCUCCUGAUGCAAGUGUUCUAAUGACAGGGUCACGAGAUACCACAUGUUUAUUUUGGCGAUUUCAUGAAAUAAAUUUACAUGAAGUAGAAAAAUGGAAGUACUUGUAAAAGUCUGCAGAAACUCCAUUCUUUGUGAAAGACCGUUGUGAAUGAAAAGGACUUUGGAACUCCUGGCUAAUUUAUCAAUGCCUGGUGCUGUGGCCUUCAACCACUUCUCGACCCAAAUGUGCAAUGCUAGCGCGUCUUGAUUACGGGGUUGGAGUUCCAGGAUGAGAAAGUCGUGGUUGAGGAAUCUCUUUCUCUGAACCACAAUCUCCACGCGGUCAGAUUAAAAGUACAAUUUGUGUUGCAAUUUGCAGUGGGGAACAAUCUGUUGUAUUCAAAAUCGAACAUUGUCACCGAAUCAUGUGUGGGCUUCACCUGCUCUGAGUCGUCGAGACCGGGUAUCACUAACCUUCGAGACGACUGUAGGGAUUUUGUAACAGCGCUAAGCUCAGAUUAGCAGAGAACAAUCGUCUCGAGUGGAAGAUCAUUGUCUUCGCACAAUUUUUUGAACCUCCGUUCUCCCAAAUCUGCCGCAACGCUGCAAUGACAAUCUCCUUCCACCCCCUUCGACAUCUAUGUUUAAGAUUUGGUAUCUAAUGUCCACUACGAUUUUAGCUACGUUCCAAAAUGUGUGGUACAAGCAACUAAACAACCUCGAGCCGGCCAUCACGGAGGUGCUUUCACGAUGUGCUGCAUACUUGAUAAUUGAGAAAAUAGGUUUGGUUUCCUGUGUUCUGCAGGGAAGGAGCUCGAGUUAGAGAUUAUCAACCACCCCAGCGAUAUUGAUUGGCUCAUGGGUUGGAUUAUUGCUCAGAGAUUGGGGUGUUAAGUUCGGAGUCGAGCCGUUAGGAAGACGUCUACCAUGUAGAAACAUUAGAGAUGAAGAGAAAUUGAAUAAUUGUAUAUUAGAAGUUUGAAUUGAAUAAUUGUAUAUAUGUAUGUAGAAGUUUCUUACAUUCCCGCUAGUAUAUUAGUUGUUAGGAUUUAGGUUUUUUAUUUUUUGUAGCAACUCUCUUAUUAAUAUGAGGUAGUGGUGAUGCUUGUAGCAUCGUAUCUAUGUACAUUUCUCUUUGUUGUUUUUGUUGAUUUUUAGGUAA